rnacentral:tRNA from 1 species
GGUCCGGUAGCUCAAUGGAUAGAGCAGUACCGUCCUAAGGUAACGGUUGAAGGUUCGAGUCCUUUCCGGAUCGCCA